AUGGUAUCACUAAUGUAUAAAUACAGGGGAGUCGCAUCUUACACGGGGGCUAGGUUCUGAAGUCAGCGCAUAGGGCGAAAAUCACAUAUAGUCGAACGCUCAUUGCGUGGAAUGGCGGGCAGAAUCGCCCGCACUACAGUUGGCAUCUUACUGAACACAGCCAGCGCGUUACCAGUUCACUUUGCAACCAACGUGGGGAUCAUCUGGUCUUCAGGAAUCUGAUGAAUCACACACAGCCUCUCAAAGGGCUCUCUGGUGUGCGGCUGCUGGCCUGGCAUCCUCGGCUUCCAUAACCCUUCUGUGUCACUCCUGGGGGAACGCGCAGAAUUCCUGUCCUGCAUCAUUUUGUAUUUUCCUGUGUAAAAUCUAGUGUUGCAGUUCCGCCUUUUGCCCACCAGAGGCCGUUGUGACACCAGAACAGGCAUCAGCCUGAACCCAGCCGGUUGUUCUGGUGCCACAGCGGCCUCUGGUGGGAAAAAGGUGGAACUGCAACACUUUGGGGGCAGAUUGCAGGAAAAUACAAAACUUGUUCCAUACUUCUCCCCCAAUACCUAACUUCCCUCUUCCUCAGCUCCUCUGUUACCCCUGACGCCCCACAGCCUUUGCUCUGCUUCUGACAGGUGCAGAAAAUACAGGUCUGUGUUGUAGUUUAAAUGAAUUACACACAUUCUAUAUUUAUAUGCAUAGUAGGGAAUCUAUUCCCCCCCCAAAAAAAAUACCAGCAUUUUUUUUCUCGGUCUGUAUUGUUUUAGACAUACUUGCAGACAAAGAUAUUUUAAAAUAAAUUAUCAAAAUAAUUGAAACUGGCGAGAUUAUAUUGUGUUAUUUUGACAAAUAAAAUAUGCAGAAUUGUGUAGAAUUUUCAAAUAUUGGGUGCAGAAUUUUUAAUUUUUUUGGCACAGAAUUCCCCCAGGGGAACCGUGUGCAGCCUCCUCUCUGGCAGCCUCUGCCGGCUUUAGCGCCAAAAUUCACCUGUGUUCUUUUCUUUUUCUGCUGCCUGCAAUCCGAACAGCUCCAGCUUCCCAAGGCUUUCACUGUUUUCACUCAUCUUGCUGCUUUUCCGUCCCUACUUCCUUUUUCCAAAAUACGCAAACAGAAAAUUCUAUACUAUAGAAUACUAUAAUCUCCAAUUCCUAAAGGAGUGACUUACAAAUAGCAAUUUUCCCUUUUUAACUCCUGAAGGAACAACUUAAUCCUCUCUGGGCCAGAGGAAGAGACACCAAGUUUCCCUCUGUAUUACUCUGUCUGCUACCACCGAGGGUUCAUACACUAAUUAUACAAAUCCUUUCCCAGAUCAGAGUGAGAAACACUAAGUUCUCCUUUUUAGCUCAGUUUUGCUACGGCUGAGGGUGUAUGUACCUCUACAACACAAUUUAAACCUAAACUUCUAUAUCCUUCAGAGUUUGGUUAAUUAACUGAAAGUUUACACUCUUUUUCCUCUAGUGCCAGGCUUGCUAAAGCUGGAGGUGUGCACACCAGUUUUAUAAUAACUGUGGAUUCUAUGCUUGCUCCCCCGUUCGCAUUCUCCACCAAAAUGUUGUACUUAAAGUCCUGCACAGGAUCUUUUCAGGGGGAAUAAGACAAAACGCCACA